AUGCAACGUGGUCCGGCUUCGGGUGGUAGACCACGGGAGGUAGACCACGCCCAUGCCAGAAGGGGCGUGGGGGGCCUGCACGCCUGCCUCGUCACGGCGGCAUUGCAAGACAAUCCGGCUGGGAGCACCACCCCGGCGCCUGUUCUGGGAGCACAGAUCACGAGCUCUGGAAGCGGGCCCUGUGUGAAGCACCGGCAGGUUCUGUGCUGCUGAAAUGUCACGUGCCGAUGCUUGAUAUUGACACGAAGGGCCUAACACAGCCGGGCUUGGUGGCCCAUCAGGAAAAAACGGGCCGCCCGUGGAGGAGGGGCCAUUCCCAGAUUCCAGAAGGAUGACUUCGGAGCAGGCCCUGGAGCCCGUGCCUACGGCCCAGACACGUUCUUGCCUUUUCUUCAAAUCGAGUUCUCUGUAUUUACCGACCAUCUUGUCCUUUUACAGCAGAGUAGUGUGAACUCCGUCUCCGAUGUUUGUCUUCUGUCUCGAAGCCAUGGUGGAUCGCCAGUUUCCUCUGAAGCAUGAGGGCCCUGGUGACCAGAGGACUCUUCCCUGAAGGCAUUCCUGCCCCGAUCCCCAGGGCACCCCUCAACUGUGUACUACGUCCUUGUUUACUGUGUAUCCUUGCCCGCGUAGAUGAUAAGAUGUAUGUGACUUAGUUUUGUUUGAAAUAAGAGACUCUGCGGCUGAAACUUUGGUCUCUAAGUGGGGGGCCGCUGCCGUCUGGAGCACGUGUAGACACCGUUCCUGCCGCUGCCGGGUGGGUUUUGCAGAGGCUCCCUUAGUGAUUUCACAUUUUGCAGGCAGCUUCCAUCUUCAGAAUUCCCUGGCAUUGAUUUCUGUUUUGAAUCAUACAGGAAACUUCCCAUUUCCUCGUUCAGCCCCACCCAGGUCAGGCAGAAGGGCAGCUUCAACGGCGGAUUUUAUGGACCACAUUAUCAGAGAUCAUUGUACAAGCCGAAUGGUGUAAUAAUGAAUAGUUCAGAGAAAAAUCUGGGUGUAAAGAGUCAAUAUGCCCUUGCUCUUUCUACCACUGUGUGCUCCCGGUUGGAAAAAAACCAAACAUGCAAGAUGGGCUGCUCUUCAGACGGGCCGUGCCUGCCUGUGCCGCGCAGCCCGGGCAGCUCACCGCAUGCCUGCUGUCCAGGAGGCUGUGGCUGCCACGGGGGCUCUGGAAUUGUGCCCCUCACAGAGGUUCCCCGAAAGGUUCUUCUAAGCCUUUAUUGUCCCUGGGAAAUGUUUCUUAGCCAGGUGUGGUGGCUCACGCCUGUAAUCCCAGCUACUUGGGAGGCUGAGGCAGGAGAAUUGCUGGAACCCAGGAGGUGGAGGCUGCAGCGAGCUAAGGUUGCACCACUGCACUCCAGACUGGGCAGUAGAGCGAGACUCCGUUUCAAAAAAAAAAGUUUCCUAUACAUUGGCCUGCCCUAAAACGCACUACCAAUUUUAGCAAAACAGUCCAGGCCAAAGAGGAAGUGUUUUAUGUUGAAUAAGAAAUCCAGCCAGUCCACACGGCCAGCUCCUGAGUGGCUUUGGUGAUAUUCGCCAGCCACCUGCUGACAUUCAGAAUCUCAGAUUUCGGCACUGCUGUUGAGGCAAUGUGUGUCUGACACCCGCCGAGAGCCCCUGGCUGUCUGUGCACAGGAUGGGGGUCACUGCCCGGACAUUCCCGCUUGCUAGGCUCUGAUUUCUGGGGAGCCUUUUAGAGGCAGCAGACAUACAGCACCUGUUCUCUGGUGUUUUAAGGGGAAAAAAAAAAUCCGAAGUGCUGGUUAGCUAGUGACAACUUAGGAUUGCUUAGAAAGGUUAGUUUUAGCUUCCUUUGUGGCUCCCUGGUGCAAAACAAUUAGCAGCAAUGCAGUGGACCUGAUUCUAGUGUGUUCCAGUGUAAGUGAAUAGGGCAGCACUUGCGUCUGACGGCACCUUGAACACCUGAACACCUGUGUAAUGGGGAAAGACUGCGUGAAAGGAUGGCCUCAUUCUUCUUCUAAUCUUGCUGGUUUCAAGAUUAGAAAGCGACAUUAUUUGAUCUGAUAGGUGUGAGAAGACAAAAAUAAAGUUACCUGGGUAGACUCA